rfam:Macleaya cordata isolate BLH2017 scaffold983, whole genome shotgun sequence.
UGGAGAAGGGGAGCACGUGCAAAAGUGAGUUGAGUUUGAAGGCCUUUGCACGUGCCCUGCUUCUCCAAC